CCCAGAGAUGUAAACGGCAGAUGAACAGCCCGGUUGACAAAAACAACUCGACUUGUUUCCUUUCUUCUGGAUCAGGACACGUUUUUAGGAAAAUUGAACAACUCAAUUCACAGCACAAAGGGAGUGCAUUACCCAUCGCGUAAGCAAAACAAGUGGGAGAACAGUGUUCACUCUAUCUGUCCCAAGCGAUGGAAAUGGCAGACGGUGGAACAGACGAAUUGACAAAAACAACUCAACCUUGAAGAAGGAGAGAGUCCGAGGACGUUGGAUGGGCAUUCACUUGGGGGAGGGAGCUCCAGGACUGGAGAGGCUUAAAAAAUAACGACAUGCAGUUUGUGUUCUCUCUACAAGAUCAUAGCCAAGACGGGCGUCUUUCUACUACAGCGUCUUUACGACAGCGACUGAACAAUGACAAUACCACCUGGAACCACUAGGGGCAGGAAAGUUGUCUGCUGCCUCUCUAAACAAGUCUGCUCCAUUCCUCACCUUCGUCUUGUACCUUUUAUGAGGUGGGAGCUGCAUUCCUAGCAUUCAAGCGGCAUCCUCGGUGACUUCAUGAAAGUGCUUACAGACGCCUUUUUCUUGAUUGACUUUCCGACAGACGCAUCCUGUCCCCCCUUCAGAAGCCGCUUUCCUCUUCCUCAUCCCAACAGCGCAGAGUCAUGAUCAGAGCUCCCCUUGGAGGAUAGUCCGGAUACCUGUUGCACUGUUUGCUUGGCCAGCUGGAAGUGUGUGUGUGUGUGUGUGUGUGUGUGUGUGUGUGUGCGUGCGUGCGUGUGAGGAAGGUGAGAGGUACAGUAAAGGAAGAACUGGAAGAGUUGUAACAGUAAUGAACUAUGGCUGUAGCAGCAUGUCCUGUAUCCUGUUGUGUCUACGUGCUCUCUGAAAAGAAAAGCGUUUUUCCUUUUUCAACUUGGAAGGGUUGUUUACGAGGGUUAGGUAUGCGUUUGUUCACGGUUGCUCACGUGUCAGUCUGUGUGUCCUGCUAAAUAGCAUUAAUAUACCUUAGAUCACAUGUCACGGGAAAGAGCUUAGAUUACAUUUUCAGACACAAAUGUAACGUAUACUCUCUUGUACUUUAAUUCUCUUCUUUUACAUAUACCACUUUAUAGACACCCAUAUUACAUGUGUACACCUUGAUGGAAAAAAAUACGUCUCUAUGCUUUAAAUAAGUGGAUUGAUAGAAAUGAAUGUUGUCCACAGUGGCUGAUCUCUGCCAUCGUCCAAAGGCACAAUCACAAUUAUUCCCCGGGCGACCUCUGGAACUCUACGUGGCAGAGGCGACGAGAAGGGGGAAGAAGUGUGCAAAGUGCAGGCUUGCUCGGGCGUGAGCGUGACGGUUUAGGAGAUGGUAGUCCUCCGGUGCACGAGAUGUCACUUGGAUACACGUUAAGUACAGGAUGGAGGCAAAACUUACAUGAAGAAAGAAAUGGAUUUGUCUAGAUUCUGCCUGAAGCAGAUUCAUUGUUGUGUGAUCUUAGAGUUGUAGAUUCUCACUGCUGGUUCAGAAGUGGCGUCGAGGCACCUUGGAUCCAUAAUGGCCUUCAGUUGUUUUGUUUUUUUAAAACCCGGCUGAAUGGAAACAGUGUUAUUUUUGUUGUUGCUCGUGUUUUGUCCUCAUGAAAUGGACACUGA